GGACUGGGAGAAUUGCUGCAGCACUGGGGGGACUGGGGGCAGCUCUAUGGGGUCUGGGGACAUCGCUGUGGGAUCUGGGGGCAGCACUGUGGGGUCUGGGUGCACUGCUAUGGGUCUGGGGGCAUCGGGGCUGGCCUUGACGGGUCUCUGCACAGCACCAGCCCUGCUGCCCCCCCCCCCCCAACCCAGUGCCACCCCCCGCCCCAUUGCCAGGCUCCCCCCGGCUGGUUGUGGGGUGCCCCCUGCGUUAUGGGGUGGCACCAGCCCUGGGAUGGGGACUGCAGCCCCUGCUGCGCCCUGGGGGCUGCGCAGCCCCACCCAGGGACCCCCAGUCAGUGGGGGCCCCGGCGCUGGCUGCGGCCGCCGUCCUCCUGCUCCUGACCACCGCCACCGCCGAUGGUAAGGGGCUGGGGGCGCGGGGGGGUGGGGGGGGCU
rnacentral:lncRNA from 1 species